AUUGAACGCUGGCGGCAGGCCUAACACAUGCAAGUCGAGCGAGCGGCGGACGGGUGGGUAAUGUAUGGGGACUGCCCGCUAGAGGGGGGUAAUUACUGGAAACGGUAGCUAAUACCGCAUACUAUCGGAUAACCCAUAUGGGAUUAGCUAGUAGGUGAGGUAAUGGCUCACCUAGGCGCCGAUCCGUAGCGGGUCUGAGAGGAUGAUCAGCCACACUGGGACUGAGACACGGCCCAGACUCCUACGGAGGCAGCAGUGGGGAAUAUUGCACAAUGGGCGCAAGCCUGAUGCAGCCAUGCCGCGUGUAUGAAGAAGGCCCUAGGGUUGUAAAGUACUUUCAGUCGGGAGGCGUUACCGACAGAAGAAGCACCGGCUAACUCCGUGCCAGCAGCCGCGGUAAUUC
rnacentral:rRNA from 1 species